rnacentral:rRNA from 1 species
GCGGCGUGCUUAACACAUGCAAGUCGAACGGAAAGGCCCUGCUUUUGUGGGGUGCUCGAGUGGCGAACGGGUGAGUAACACGUGAGUAACCUGCCCUUGACUUUGGGAUAACUUCAGGAAACUGGGGCUAAUACCGGAUAGGAGCUCCUGCUGCAUGGUGGGGGUUGGAAAGUUUCGGCGGUUGGGGAUGGACUCGCGGCUUAUCAGCUUGUUGGUGGGGUAGUGGCUUACCAAGGCUUUGACGGGUAGCCGGCCUGAGAGGGUGACCGGCCACAUUGGGACUGAGAUACGGCCCAGACUCCUACGGGAGGCAGCAGUGGGGAAUAUUGCACAAUGGGCGGAAGCCUGAUGCAGCAACGCCGCGUGCGGGAUGACGGCCUUCGGGUUGUAAACCGCUUUCGCCUGUGACGAAGCGUGAGUGACGGUGAUGGGUAAAGAAGCACCGGCUAACUACGCGCCAGCAGCCGCGGUGAUACAUAGGGUGCGAGCGUUGUCCGGAUUUAUUGGGCGUAAAGGGCUCGUAGGUGGUUGAUCGCGUCGGAAGUGUAAUCUUGGGGCUUAACCCUGAGCGUGCUUUCGAUACGGGUUGACUUGAGGAAGGUAGGGGAGAAUGGAAUUCCUGGUGGAGCGGUGGAAUGCGCAGAUAUCAGGAGGAACACCAGUGGCGAAGGCGGUUCUCUGGGCCUUUCCUGACGCUGAGGAGCGAAAGCGUGGGGAGCGAACAGGCUUAGAUACCCUGGUAGUCCACGCUGUAAACGGUGGGUACUAGGUGUGGGGUCCAUUCCACGGGUUCCGUGCCGUAGCUAACGCUUUAAGUACCCCGCCUGGGGAGUACGGCCGCAAGGCUAAAACUCAAAGGAAUUGACGGGGCCCCGCACAAGCGGCGGAGCAUGCGGAUUAAUUCGAUGCAACGCGUAGAACCUUACCUGGGUUUGACAUGGAUCGGGAGUGCUCAGAGAUGGGUGUGCCUCUUUUGGGGUCGGUUCACAGGUGGUGCAUGGCUGUCGUCAGCUCGUGUCGUGAGAUGUUGGGUUAAGUCCCGCAACGAGCGCAACCCUUGUUUACUGUUGCCAGCACGUUAUGGUGGGGACUCAGUGGAGACCGCCGGGGUCAACUCGGAGGAAGGUGGGGAUGACGUCAAGUCAUCAUGCCCCUUAUGUCCAGGGCUUCACGCAUGCUACAAUGGCUGGUACAGAGAGUGGCGAGCCUGUGAGGGUGAGCGAAUCUCGGAAAGCCGGUCUCAGUUCGGAUUGGGGUCUGCAACUCGACCUCAUGAAGUCGGAGUCGCUAGUAAUCGCAGAUCAGCAACGCUGCGGUGAAUACGUUCCCGGGGCUUGUACACACCGCCCGUCAAGUCAUGAAAGUUGGUAACACCCGAAGCCGGUGGCCUAACCGUUGUGGGGGAGCCGUCGAAGGUGGGACUGGUGAUUAGGACUAA